GCAUAACCAGAACAUCGAAGGUGAACCACCGAUGCAUGCGCCACUGGGAACACCGCACGACGGAGCAUCAAAUUUUAUAAAUAAUUAUUAUGGCUGCCAGUAACGUAAUCGAUAUUACGCGUGUUACAUGAGAUAAUUAUUCGGGAUUAAUUGGAUCAAUCACGGUUGCGACAAAAUGUCGAGGCAUCUAAAACUAUGCUGGAUGCUGCCUUUUAUCUUGCUAGUCAUUGGAUGUGUGCUGAAUUUUAGCAGCGCCAGAACAUUAACGAAACCGAGCGAAAUUAUCGACGAUGGGCAAUUAUCGGAGAACUGCCUGUAUUCGCGGGAUAACAAUAACUUGGUGAAGCGUUCUGGAGGUACCAGGCGCCAGCUGGGCUGGACCCGGCCACCGCGAACCGGCGGAUGAGGAUAAGCGGGCCACCGUUACGUAUUAUGCAUCCACUCUGCAUAAUACACCGUGGCCCAGUUUCCUGUACCAUCACGCCGCCGAAGGUGUCCGCCGGUGACCUUAAUCAAGUUGCUGGCAUAUAUGAUGCGCAGUAUCACAACCACCUCGCCGUGGCGAUACUGUGCGGAUGGGGAUAUCUCCGCGGUGCAACAAUCAUGGUCUUAUAGUAUCGCUUUUUAAAUACUGUACUUCGGUAUCUAAUCCAUAUGAUUCUGACAAAUGCAUCGUUAACUGUAUGUAUGUAUAUUUAUAUUUUACUAUACAAGUAUGAACGCAACUGUGUAUUGCACAAUGUAAACGAAUACUGCAGUCACUUCCGGUUACAAAAUUAUCCAAGAGCCAGUAA